GUAAGUACUAAUGGGAAUUUUAAUCGCAACCCUAUCAUUAAAUCGUAUCGCGUGAUCUCAGAGGACUAUCGAGAGCCGGUCGACGAACGGAUCUCAGAAAACGUGCGCCACGAUGCAGUCCGAUGCAGUCGCAGCAACCGUGGCUGACAGCAGCUGCAGCAGCUGGAACACAAAGCAGCCCGUUAGCCUGGUCCUUUCCUUCGCUUUGACAUGGAUGUGCGACGGACCUUAGCCCAAAAUUAACCCCAUUAUACGAAGUAAUGAGCGGAAUAUCGCGUUGUCAUGAACAUCAAAAGACUAAUAGAGAUGAAGCUCGAGCCGGGGAGGAGAGUGCACAGCUGCUGCCAAAUUAUGCCUUUGUCAUACCCGCUUGCUUGCAGAAUUCCUGUUGCUUGCAUUUCUUGGCAUGCACGCGAGUCUUUCCACGUCUACAGAAAGACGUCGACAACCGUCGAGGGUUGCAACCGAGUCGUUCUUGGAUGAGGAUGAUUGCGUGAACGAUGACGUCACCAGUAAGAGCGUAAGGGCCUACGAAUGUAUUCCUGUUCGAUCCAUCUGAAACGAGAAACCGCUCUACAGUACCUUUCCUACGUCGUUCAUGACGUCAUUGCACUGUAUUCCAUACCUUCCGCGCAUCGGGGUUAAUUUUGGAGUGGCGGUACUCAAUCGCGCGAUCUUCAUCGAGGGUGCCUUCCGUGAGACAGGUGUGCCCGCGGGAGGCACGUCAGGCAUGUUUCGUGCACUUUAAUGAGCAAAAUAGCACGCGCGGGGUAAAGACAACCCUAAUGCUAUUAAUGUCUCGGACGGUUUAUUUGCCAAUAAAGCGGCUAUUUCUAUACUUGCGGAAAUUCUGGAUGUUAGCGUUAAAGCAGCCGGAUGCAAGCAGAGUCAGACAAGGGUUGCAGUCACCUGCGUGGCUCUGUUAAAUCAGAAUUUUUAUUCCGAUUGGAAUAUUCAUGUAUAGUGUUACGUUCCUCUGUUGUUGAGCUGAAUCGACAAAGACAUGGGACACGGAUGAAUUAUGCGUCGCAAGAAUUCUCAUUAUCGUUCGUUAAUGGUGUAACAGUGCCAGAUCUCGAGCGCCGUCGAAUAUACACUGGAUAUUAAGGCUUUUCCGCAAUCUCUCGUCUGAAUGUGCAAUCAUGACAUCCAUAGACUACGCGCCGUUUCCUUUAUCGUAGAAAUUUCUUGCCAGCAUUCAACGGCGGAAUGGCUUUGCAGUACAAAAUCGUAACGCACUUCAUAGGACGCAUUAAUGGAAUCUAUGUUCACUAUGAGGGAGGAAAGGCGCCGCCAUGAGUGUAUACUUGAAUGGAACGUAAUAUCAGAGCGAAUUUUCGGUGAGAUCCGCCAGUUUGAAAAGGGAUAGAUAAAAGCCGGGCCCCCCGCGGAAUGACGUCGCGACGGAAUGAACGGGCCCACCGCGCCGGUGCGACAAAGAUGCCAAACGGUGGACGUGUCGAUGAAAAGAGAAGCGGAGAAAGCAAGAGGAAACGAGCGGCGGGGACGGGACUCUCAUCAUCCUCCGCUAAUAUUUACCCGUGCAGACACAAAGACCACCCUGGUCAACCUAAAGAACGAUCCCCCAUCCCCCGAGCGCUGAUAAAGAUAUAUGGAAGUCGUUCGCGUGCUUAAUUCCCGCGUACAAUACGUCGACGAUAUUCUUGUCGCGAUUUUCGCGAUUACGUUUCGCCAGGAUCGACGCCGAAACGGCGAUCUCAUCAUUUUUGAGAUUUUACAAGAGCCAAUGUCAAAAUGCAUAAAUAGAAAGUAAACGCUCAUAAAAGUAGAUCGGCUUUUUUUAGUUCCAUGUAUCUAAAUGAUGAACGCUUUUGCAUCGGAGUUCAAGAUCCCCUUAACAGCUCAUUAAUUAUAUUACAAAAAUUUCUCGUGUAGAAGACGAUUGAUCUUAUGCGUAUGAACGAUAUAAAAUUAUCUUGAUCACCGAAGAGCUUGAUUACUUCGCGGAAAUUGGAUUCCGAAAAUGUUCGAAAUGAGUAUUAUUAAUUUCAUUUGAUUUAUCAUAAAAGUUGUGUCUGAGAAAUUGCGGAAAUGGGAUAUUUCGCCGUUAAUGAGUUAAUUAUUGAGUUAUUAACUGUUGAUACUGCUACGUUUUAGAAGUAAGAGGCAAACGAAGGAAUGCGUUGCACGAUUGCGAGUUUUUCACUUUGAUGAACAUCCGCAUGGUUGCAAAAAUGCGAAACAAAAACAAAUAUGAACGUAGACCACUACAAGUUAGUAAUAUAUAUGUAUAUAUAUAUAUAUAUAUAUAUAUAUAUAUAUAUAUGUAGCCAAUCAAUCAGCCUUUUGAUUCUUUCAACGUUUACCUGUGUUUCAUAGAUACACGUAAAACUGUGCAACGUAAAACAAAUGUCAAAUUCGAGUUGCAAUACGCAAAUUAAAUGCUGCAUCGCUGGAAUUUUUGAGAUAUUUUGCGCAACCAAUACUUCAAAAUUCAAUUGAUCAGCGGCAAUACAGCUCUACAGAUACCGUGCCUUUCAACAAAGUAAGCUCGAUUUUCCGGAAAGCGCACUCGAUUCGAUGCACAAAUGCAUCUUCUCAGAAGAAAUCGAAUAUCACCAUGUAUGGCAUUGAGAGCUGUGGUUUUAGGUCAACCUGAUUCUCUUUUCGUAACAUGUUUGGCAAACAUCUUUUCGUGACCGAAAGCAUGAACAGCAGCGUACUUUUAAUCUAUGUAAUCAUAUUUAGAUAAUAUUUCUUCUAUGUAAUCAUAGUAGAUAACAUUUCUUGGGAUAAUAAAUCAAUAUAUCGGCGUAUAAGUAUCCCUUUAAAUUUCACGGAAUCAAAUAGGGAAGAUAAUCGCUGAUUUCAAAGAAGGACAUAGUUUAUCGAUCGUUUCCGCUAUUAAACAUCUUCCUUUAACGAUAACGUUGACAUUACAAUACUUGUACAAAAUUAUAAAUGAUUUCAUUAUAAUUCUCUUUCUCCUUAG